AGCGAACGCUGGCGGCAGGCCUAACACAUGCAAGUCGAACGAACUCUUCGGAGUUAGUGGCGGACGGGUGAGUAACACGUGGGAACGUGCCUUUAGGUUCGGAAUAACUCAGGGAAACUUGUGCUAAUACCGAAUGUGCCCUUCGGGGGAAAGAUUUAUCGCCUUUAGAGCGGCCCGCGUCUGAUUAGCUAGUUGGUGAGGUAAAGGCUCACCAAGGCGACGAUCAGUAGCUGGUCUGAGAGGAUGAUCAGCCACAUUGGGACUGAGACACGGCCCAAACUCCUACGGGAGGCAGCAGUGGGGAAUCUUGCGCAAUGGGCGAAAGCCUGACGCAGCCAUGCCGCGUGAAUGAUGAAGGUCUUAGGAUUGUAAAAUUCUUUCACCGGGGACGAUAAUGACGGUACCCGGAGAAGAAGCCCCGGCUAACUCCGUG
rnacentral:rRNA from 1 species